CGCUAGCUACAGGCUUAACACAUGCAAGUCGAGGGGAAACGACAUCGAAAGCUUGCUUUUGAUGGGCGUCGACCGGCGCACGGGUGAGUAACGCGUAUCCAACCUGCCCACCACUUGGGGAUAACCUUGCGAAAGUAAGACUAAUACCCAAUGACGUCUCUAGAAGACAUCUGAAAGAGAUUAAAGAUUUAUCGGUGAUGGAUGGGGAUGCGUCUGAUUAGCUUGUUGGCGGGGUAACGGCCCACCAAGGCGACGAUCAGUAGGGGUUCUGAGAGGAAGGUCCCCCACAUUGGAACUGAGACACGGUCCAAACUCCUACGGGAGGCAGCAGUGAGGAAUAUUGGUCAAUGGACGAGAGUCUGAACCAGCCAAGUAGCGUGCAGGAUGACGGCCCUAUGGGUUGUAAACUGCUUUUAUAAGGGAAUAAAGUGAGUCUCGUGAGACUUUUUGCAUGUACCUUAUGAAUAAGGACCGGCUAAUUCCGUGCCAGCAGCCGCGGUAAUACGGAAGGUCCGGGCGUUAUCCGGAUUUAUUGGGUUUAAAGGGAGCGUAGGCCGGAGAUUAAGCGUGUUGUGAAAUGUAGACGCUCAACGUCUGCACUGCAGCGCGAACUGGUUUCCUUGAGUACGCACAAAGUGGGCGGAAUUCGUGGUGUAGCGGUGAAAUGCUUAGAUAUCACGAAGAACUCCGAUUGCGAAGGCAGCUCACUGGAGCGCAACUGACGCUGAAGCUCGAAAGUGCGGGUAUCGAACAGGAUUAGAUACCCUGGUAGUCCGCACGGUAAACGAUGGAUGCCCGCUGUUGGUCUGAAUAGGUCAGCGGCCAAGCGAAAGCAUUAAGCAUCCCACCUGGGGAGUACGCCGGCAACGGUGAAACUCAAAGGAAUUGACGG
rnacentral:rRNA from 1 species